CCGGGGCCCGCGCGGGCUUGCGGGUCCGGGGCGGGAUGCCAGGUACCCGGGCCCCUGGGCUUCCUGUUAAAGAUUUUUUUCUGAGAGAGAUGGGUUUCUGCGCCGCUUAAAGCGAGAGGAAAGAGGAAGUGGGAAGUGGGCUCGGGCGUCGGCAUCCUCUCUGAUGGAGAAAUACGGGAAGGGCAGCGGCGUCUAAGCCACAGCCGCUGCUUCGGGGACGGGGGACGCGAUGACUGUUGGGAGACCCGGUGACUGCUAGCAUAAUCUGUACUUUUGUACAAAUCAGUUAAAUGCGCUUUGUUACCUUCUAGACAUGUUUAUGGAAGGAGGGUUUAUUUGUCUAUCCAAUUUUGUAGUCUCUGUCUUUUAACAGAAAUAACCAGUUCUUCAAAUGCUCUUAGAACCAGCUUUACCAUCCUACUGCUUCCUUCAUCAAUUAAAAUAAAAUCAUUGACAUGGGUUCAUUCUGUAUAGAAGCAUACGAGAGAGAAAUCAGCAAUGAUUCCUAUGUUUCUGGCUUCAACAACUGGGAAAAUGGAGUAUGUUACAGCAACAUGCCUUAAUAAAGACAGCCAAAGUCCAAAUACCUCUGUCAACAUUAAGUUGAUAUAAACACAGCAAAUGUGAUGGGAGUGACCAGAUCACAAGGAAGCCAGAUUUUGAGGACAGAUGUCUGGGAGGAAGGAGCAAGAAGACAAAGGGAGGAAAAGCAAAACGAUAAUGGAAUUAGCGGUGAGAUGGACGUGUUUCCGUGUUCUGGCCCUCCAAACCAACAACUGUCAUUCAAAAACCAUCUCAUCCUGGUGACCAGCUUGCCUUUUCCUCAGCAUCUUCUUCCCAUGGUCAAGACAUGAGACAGGUCCAUUGAGGAUAAAAUGAAGAACUAAAAUGCUCUCUGAGCCCUUCAAAAAGAUCUCCUCCAAGUCCAUGGCUGGAAAGGCGCACAUGGGAAGAUGGUGAUGGAACCAUAUCACAGCUGCCCUAGCAAGGCCCACAUGCCUUCCAGGACAGAAAUAACACCUUCUCAACACAAGGUCAGGGACAGAUUUUGGAAUAAACUUGUUUUCUUAUAUCUGGGAUUCCUCAGUCUCUGCCUAAGGAGAGUCUUGAACUGAGAUCAGAACACCUGGCUUUCUUAGCUACUUGGGAGACCUUGGAUAACUUAUUUAAAUUCUCUGUGCCUCAGGGCACUCAUCAGUAAAAUGAUGAAGUCAGAAUAGAUCAGUGGUUUUCUAAUACUAAGCAGUGAACUCUUUUUCCAAACAAAACUUUACAAAUCCGGAUACAUUAAACAGAUCCAAGUGGAGCUGCUCUGAUUGCAGUCAGGGCAGGGAGUUGUAGGAGAUGGGGGAACAAACAGGAGCAGGGCAGACCAGGGCCCCAGUGCCUCAACCUUCCUUUUGUAUCUGAGGCACAGUUUGAAAACCUGAAUAGAUGGUCUCCACUGUAGCUUUCAGCAUUAAAUGUUCUAAUUCUCUGUUAUUCUCCAUUGUACUCUAUCAGCCACUGCUCUCAAUAAACAAGCUAUAGACCAAGAACAAAGUAGGUGGAAAAUCAUUCCCAGGAGGUUCAAGGCUGGCUUAGGGCUUGCAUAUGUUCUACAUACUUUUCCUUUGGAGCCCCACUACCCUCCCCCAUACCAUACCAAACAUGUAAUUUUCUUUUGGUAUUUGAGAGACAAUUUUUUUUCAGAUCUCAAACAUUUCUGAAAGUCCUUUAAAAACUCAGAGUCUCGGGGGCUUCCCUGGUGGCGCAGUGGUUGAGAG